ACAACUUUGGGAUUCUGGCCCAUGUUGCAACAAGUUUGGCCACCACUGGCCUAACAGCUGCUGGGAGGAAGGAUCUGCAGUAACACUCUGUUGUGCCCCCGAGGAUGCAGCGGUCUGUCACUGGAGGAGCUCUCCAGUUUAGUAACAGCUGGGACACAACGUCCAACAGAGAUGGUAUUUUCUAACAAGAGUUAAGUUUGGUCUCCCACCACCUGCACUGGGUCAAGAGGGCAUCUUAGGACAGAGCUGGCCUUCAUGAUAAGCUUAUCUAGCCGCUUCCUCUCCGCUGUAAAUAAGCUGCUGCUCAAAUAAACUACAUCACAGAAGAUGGCUGAUGAACCACAGAGUCAAAAAAUGUCUGGAGCGCCCCAAUGAACUCCGAGAGACCUCAGCCUCCUCAGCAGGUCCAGCGGCCACGUCGCAGAAACAAUGGGCUGGAUCGGGCUUUGAAGUCAGCCCCCAAUGAAAGUGGAGCGACUGACACAUGAAAUGCCCUCACAGCUGGGCUGCCCCCAGUCAAAAGAAAAACAAAUACUUUGACUGAGAGGGGGACACGCCGCUCCUGUCUGAGCUUCCUAAGGCCCUGAGCCACCGCCGGGAUGUGGGCUUUCACGAUAUGCCGGUAAUGAUGGAUGGAUUGGGAAGAAAGUCUAUUCACAUGGAGAUGUUACAUCAUAAAUAUUUACACAGGGCUGCCGUUUCCAUGUAAAAGCCUCUGCUAUGACACGCUGGAAAAAUCCAAUGGACCAAAAUAAGUGCAAGAGAAUGAAAACUGCAGAAAAGCAGCCAAGUGCUCAUUUUGGAGCGUGUGCAACAGUCGGUGAUACAAUAAUACCAAUCUGAGCUUAUGAGUUGGUGUUUUUCUCAGUGAGACAAAUUAUCUUUUCUACGGCAGACUGCGAGCUUUAUUUACUUUUAUGCCUGACUGAAUAAACUGCUGUGUUACAGAAUCACUGGACCUCUUUGAACAAAUCCUGAAUACCAAAAUACUAAAAAGGCAGAGUUUGACUUUGAAUUACCAACAUUUAUUUUCCAUUGUGAUUAAGAUCUACAAAUGGAAAACAAAUUAGAAAUAGGAUGAUAGAUCCACCUCACGAACCAAUACACAAUACUGAAUUCAAAAAUAAGAGAAAGGACAACAUUUUGACGAUAUACAUAUUUAGGGAAAAUAAGAACACACUCCUUCUGAUUUCACAAAAAGACUUUACAAAAAGAUUUUACAGAUUAUGUGCUGCAUUUCAAAGAAUUUGUAAAAAAUGUCCAGGUUUGAUCAGUCUGUGUAUGGAAGGUUUUUAUGCUUUUCUAUUACUAAUGUGGCCUUAUAUCAAACAAUGCCGGAAAAUGCUACAUUUUUGUUAUUUGCAAACAUAAAAAAGGUACUCAAAAUGAGAAUGGCAGUAAAACAUGACAGAGAGGCAGAAACAUCUUUAACUGUCUCUUCAGUGUACAAGUGCAUUUUUGAUUCGUCUAGAUUCUGAAGUAGAUUAUUAAAUGCAGUCUGGUUUAAAAAAAUAGUUUGACUGUCCUUUUAGUUUAGUUUAAUGAAGCUAAAGUUCCUUUUACGUAACUUUAGCUUCAUGUUACCUAUUAGCCAGUCGCUGCAUUUUCACCAUGUUUAUAAACCAUUACCCUCUUGUCAGUCACUCUCUUCCCAUUUUUAACUACCACUUUCUAUGUUGUUGUGGCUUGUUUGCUUGUAGUGAAAUAAAUUAUAAUUAAAAGUACCUCUAAGGUUUUACAAAUAGAAAAAGAGUGAAUCACUCUUAAACAAUGCUAAAAACAAAAUUCUGUUCUAACUUGUAAGUGUUUUGGGCGAAACUAAUUAGAGGCUAAAAACUAUAAAGCAAACUUUAAGCUUAGCUUGAAGCCAACGCUAACCUUAGCAGUGUUAGCUGCUAAAGGUUUGACAUUGGCAGUGUUUUUUUUUUCAUUGGAAAUGAUCUUAUUUGUUAUUGUUUUUUAUUUUACUUUUUUUCCCAAAUUCAGCACAUUGUUGUCAAACAAAAUAUUUUAGUGUAAAUACCUAGUAAAAGGGAAUUCCCUAAUUUUUUAGUAACCUGAAGACGAGUCUUACCAGUUAUAUGAACAAACAACAACUCUAGAAGUGCUUUCUUUUUUUUCUUUUUUUUUUACUUUAAAAUAAAAGUCUCAGAUAUAGACACUUAAAUCUGUCAAUUUUAUGUCAGGGUGCACUGUUAUACCUAUCAAUAAAACAAAUACGGUACCAUUUUAUGAUCGUGUUACCCCCUUAGGAAGAAAGGAAGAAUGCACAUAUGGUUACUGAGGUCACCCUUACUUUAUAUAAUAACUAUACCUGAGUUACUGCGCCUCCCUUUGAGAGGGGGCAGAAGUGGAAAGCAGACACACCAAUGUUGUUGGCAAACAGUCAUACAAAUUUCUUCUCACUGAGUUCAAUUAAAAGCCUUAUAGUCCCCCGAGAUUAUCCCCGCUAACCAAUGAAAACAAUUUUGGUGGUUUAAUUUUCCUCAGACUGUCUAGGAGAGGAACUCCAUCUUUUCGAAAAGUUUGUCGGAGCCACGAGGAGUGGGGGGAGAGCAGAGGGGUGUCAAGGUCUCAUGUUAGAGCCAGUUGGCCUUUAUGAUUAGUUUCAUUAACAUACAACAAAAGCCAAUUAAGCUUACUGUGCUCAGUUAUGUUGUUGUUUUGUGGUUAGACAAGCAGUAUUACUCUGGAAUUCAGCUGAAUCUCACUUAACUUUUCUCCUACAAGCAACCUGCUCAAAGGCACUCUUUAAUGCUGUUACAAAAGGGAGGGAAUAAAAAUACGCACAGUGUAUUUCUCCAAGGCUCAGUGUUCGCGAACUGCACAAAUUGUGCAACAUGAUACUAUGAAACUGCAAUAAAAAGUCAAUUUAUUUGAAGGCCUCUGCACACAUCCUUACAAGGGACGGCAAUAAUGGUGCAGGACUCUGUAUGUGGGAAUCUGUGAUUGCAGGGAGGUACACCGGGCCCUGAUUGAUGUGGGGAGUGUGUCUUCUUUCUGGUUCGUGAGUGACACCAGCAGAAACAAAAGAGUGCGGUGUAGCAUUCCACCUCGAUUCACAGCCACGCCAGCCCCCCGGUGUUAGCGAGGGUCCCUGGUUUGACAUGAGACAGCCCAGACUGUCACUUCUGAAUGUUUAGAUCCCUCUUGACAAGGAGGCCAGGGGCAAGGGCUGUUGUGUGCAUCCUCAUGACAGACUCCCACAUCAGCAUUGUGCUCAUACUGGCUAACAUCAUUAGCACAGAAGGUUUCAUCUCACGGAGGGAGAGGGAGGAAGGAAAAAAAAAAAAAUCAACCCAGUUUUUUCAAGUCACAAGUCAUUAGCGUUCUCUAGAGAGUCAAAUUGUACAGAGGCUGAUUUUUUAUCAGCAACAAAAGGUUUUAUACUCUUGUUAAUUUGGUGGAUGUCAUCUGCACUUAGAUGUCUGUGUCUAAUGUCUUACAGUAAUAAAUGCCACGCAGUGGAAAAAUUGCAUUAUUUUGUCAAGAUGAGAAUGUGGGACGGAGUUACAACAGCAUCCAGACAUAAAACAGGCAUAAAAAAAAUAAAACAACACGACACAAUUAGCAGAACGGUGCAACCUGGAGAACAAGAAUUUGGCAAACAUGCUUGAAAAAAACCGAGACAGCGCGUUGCUAAAAUGCUAUUUAUUACUUCCACCUUAAGCAGUUCCAGUUCUCCAAUGGACUGUUAAGUGUCUAUUUGUGUGUUUUUUUGGCAUUGUGACUUCUGCAAGUCAGGCAAAAAA